UAUAAUACACACAAUGGAAAGCGCGGCAGCUUCAAUAUUAAAACGAGCAGUAGAAAUGGAUAGCAAUAAACAGUAUACAAUGGCUUUAGUAUUAUAUCAGGAAGGUAUACAAAUAUUACUUGAUUCUAAAAAAGUAAUAUUAUAGAAACAACAGAUCCAGCUAAGCAAAAGUAUUUUGCUGUCAAGGCAUCAGAAUAUUUGGAUAGAGCAGAAAAAA